rnacentral:rRNA from 1 species
AGAAACAAACUCUUUAACUUGAACUUUUAAAGCAAACUCGCACACAAGUUAGUACAUUAUAACAACUUAAUGUCAAUCAAAUACCGCAAGGAUCCUAUAAACCUACCCAAAAGAAGAUAUAAACCGCCCUACCUUUUGCAUCAUGUAGUUGCAACAAAAAACAAUUAAUAUCACUUCCCGAAAAGUGAAGAGCUAUUAUUAACAUAUCCACCCCUAGUGUGUCAUUACUAAAGCACAGUUAAUAAUAGAAGCAAAACACCUUACGAAUCACUUGAUAGCUGGUUGCUCCUAAAAGACAUAUAAGUGUCCCCUAACAGAAAUCCACAAACAAUUACCUGCUAGAGAAACCUCAGUGAGGACAAGCUCGCUGACUUUUAAAGAAAUAGACUUUUCAUAACCUUCACAAGUGGGCCCAAAACCAGCCAACAAAAUCCGUUAUAGGAGACAAACCCCCCCCACACAUUACUACAAACUAAGCAAUUCUAAGCAUAAGGAACCCUAAAACCUAAUUAACGUUUUAACGAACCGGCAAUCUAUUAGUAUCCAGUUUACUUAAAAGAGCACCCACAAAUAAACACUCAUCAGCAAACAAAAACAUCUCCAUACCGCAGAUAAUGAACUCGGCAAAACCCUUCCCCGCCUGUUUACCAAAAACAUCGUCUUUUGUCCUCAACCAUAAAAGAUACCGCCUGCCCAAUGAUUCAUGAUUAAAUGGCCGCGUUAGCGUGAGCGUGCUAAGGUAGCGUAAUAAACAGCUCCCCAAUUAGGAGCCAGUGAAUGGCAAAACGGAGAAGAGCUGUAUCAUCUGCGGAGAGAAAACUUUUCAUCUAAGUGAAAAGGCUUAGAUAAAGGAGAAAGACAAAAAGACCCCGCGGAACUCCCCUCAAACCCUUAAGCCACACAAACAAGCUUCAGGACCUGAGGUUGGUUGGGGCAACCUUGGAGCAAGAAAAACCUCCAAAUAUACCUCCAAAACACAUUCAAAAUUCGGUAUAGACCACAAAGCAGUUACCCCGGGGAUAACAGCGUAAUCCAGCUUAAGAGUACGAAUCGAAAGCUGGGCUUGCGACCUCGAUGUUGGCUUAGGGAAAGCAACUUGGCGUAGCCACUAAGUUAUAGUGCCAGUCUGUUCGACUGCAAACCCCCUACGCGAGCUGAGUUAAGACCGGCGAGAGCUAGGUUGGAUUCUAUCUUCUCCACCCAACAACACUCUUUAUUGUACGAAAGGACCCAAAGAGGCACACCAAAACUGUGAUGACUAAACACACCAAUUAAACGCUAUACAAC